GAUGAACGCUGGCGGCGCGCCUAACACAUGCAAGUCGAACGAUUAAAGCACCUUCGGGUGUGUAUAAAGUGGCGAACGGCCGAGUAACACGUGGGCAAACUGCACCUUUCAUUGGGAUAGCCACGGGCAACCGUGGAUAAUACCGAAUACUUCGAGACUUCCGCAUGGAAGACCCGAGAAAGCUCCGGCGGGGCGGGAUGGGCCCGCGGCUUGUUAGCUUGUUGGUGGGGUAACGGCCUACCAAGGCAAUGAUGGGUAGCUGGGUUGAGAGACCGACCAGCCAGAAGGGGACUGAGACACGGCCCAGACUCCUACGGGAGGCAGCAGUGGGGAAUCUUGCACAAUGGGCGAAAGCCUGAUGCAGCGACGCCGCGUGCGGGAUGAAGGCCUUCGGGUUGUAAACCGCUUUCAGCAGGGACGAGGCGAAAGUGACGGUACCUGCAGAAGAAGCCCCGGCUAACUACGUG
rnacentral:rRNA from 1 species